rnacentral:rRNA from 1 species
AUUGAACGCUGGCGGCAUGCCUUACACAUGCAAGUCGAACGGCAGCACGGGAGUAAUCCUGGUGGCGAGUGGCGAACGGGUGAGUAAUAUAUCGGNACGUGCCCAGUCGUGGGGGAUAACGUAGAGAAAUUUACGCUAAUACCGCAUACGAUCUAAGGAUGAAAGCGGGGGACUCGCAAGAGCCUCGCGCGAUUGGAGCGGCUGAUAUCAGAUUAGGUUGUUGGUGAGGUAAAAGCUCACCAAGCCGACGAUCUGUAGCUGGUUUGAGAGAACGACCAGCCACACUGGGACUGAGACACGGCCCAGACU